AGGGUUCGAUUGUGGCUCAGGAUGAACGCUGGCGGCGCGCCUAACACAUGCAAGUCGAACGGUUAAAGCCCCUUCGGGGGUGUAUAAAGUGGCGAACGGCUGAGUAACACGUGGGCAACCUACCUCUUGCUCUGGGAUAGCCUCGAGAAAUCGUGGGUAAUACCGGAUACUCCGUAACCGUCGCAUGGCGGAUACGGGAAAGCGCAUACGGCAAGAGAUGGGCCCGCGGCCUGUUAGCUUGUUGGUGGGUAACGGCCUACCAAGGCUAUUAUGGGUAGCUGGGUUGAGAGACCGACCAGCCAGAUUGGGACUGAGACACGGCCCAGACUCCUACGGGAGGCAGCAGUGGGGAAUCUUGCACAAUGGGCGAAAGCCUGAUGCAGCGACGCCCGCGUGCGGGAUGAAGGCCCUAUGGGUUGUAAACCGCUUUCAGCAGGGACGAGGCCGCAAGGUGACGGUACCUGCAGAAGAAGCCCCGGCUAACUACGUGCCAGCAGCUGC
rnacentral:rRNA from 1 species